rnacentral:rRNA from 1 species
GAUGAACGCUAGCGGGAGGCCUAACACAUGCAAGCCGAGCGGUAUUGUUUCUUCGGAAAUGAGAGAGCGGCGUACGGGUGCGUAACACGUGUGCAACCUGCCUUUAUCUGGGGGAUAGCCUUUCGAAAGGAAGAUUAAUACUCCAUAAUAUAUUGAACGGCAUCGUUUAAUAUUUAAAGCUCCGGCGGCUAGAGAUGGGCACGCGCAAGAUUAGCUAGUUGGUGAGGUAACGGCUCACCAAGGCGAUGAUCUUUAGGGGGCCUGAGAGGGUGAUCCCCCACACUGGUACUGAGACACGGACCAGACUCCUACGGGAGGCAGCAGUGAGGAAUAUUGGUCAAUGGGUGCAAGCCUGAACCAGCCAUCCCGCGUGAAGGACGACUGCCCUAUGGGUUGUAAACUUCUUUUGUAUAGGGAUAAACCUACCCUCGAGAGGGUAGCUGAAGGUACUAGACGAAUAAGCACCGGCUAACUCCGUG